ACUCCUACGGGAGGCAGCAGUGAGGAAUCUUCCGCAAUGGACAGAAAGUCUGACGGAGCAACACCGCGUUGAAGGAUGAAAGGCCUUUUUGGUUUGUAAAACGUUCUUUUCUUGAGGGGAAGAAUUCUGACGGUACCUCAGGAAUAAGCAUCGGCUAACUACGUGCCAGCAGCCGCGGUAAGACGUAGGAUGCAAGCGUUAUCCGGAAUUAUUGGGCGUAAAGCGUCCGCAGGCGGUUUGGUAAGUUGGAUGUCAAAGCUCUGAAGCUCAACUCAGAAACUGUAUCCGAUACUGCUAAACUAGAGUCAGGUAGAGGCAAGUGGAAUUCUGCAUGUA
rnacentral:rRNA from 1 species